UACGCAUUAUGCAAGCGUUAUCCGGAAUUAUUGGGCGUAAAGCGUUUGUAGGCGGGCGAGUGUGUUUAAUGUUAAAUCUUAAAGCUCAACUUUGAAAUUGCGUUAAAAACUGCUUGUCUUGAGUAUGGUAGGGGUAAAGGGAAUUCCCAGUGUAGCGGUGAAAUGCGUAGAUAUUGGGAAGAACACUAAACAGCGAAGGCACUUUACUAGGCUAAUACUGACGCUGAGAAACGAAAGGUAAGGUAGCGAAACGGAUUAGAUACCCGUGUAGUCUUACCCGUAAACUAUGGACACUAAACGGUAAAUUUUUAAUUUACUGUUAAAGCUAACGCGUUAAGUGUCCCGCCUGGGGAGUAUGCUUGCAAAAGUGAAACUCAAAGGAAUUGACGGGGGCCCGCACAAGCGGUGGAGCAUGUGGUUUAAUUCGACGGUACACGAAGAACCUUACCAGGAUUUGACAUGCUAGAUAGUUGCUUGAAAGAGUAACGUGCCGUAAGGAAUCUAGACACAGGUGGUGCAUGGCUGUCGUCAGUUCGUGUUGUGAAAUGUUGGGUUAAGUCCCGCAACGAACGCAACCCUUGUCUUUAGUUAUUUUCUAAAGAGACUGCCUGUAAUAAACAGGAGGAAGGUAAGGAUGAGGUCAAGUCAUCAUGCCCCUUAUGUCCUGGGCUACACACGUGCUACAAUGGGAAAGACAAUGAGCUGCAAAUCUGUAAAUUUAAGCAAAUCUCUUAAACUUUCUCGUAGUUCGGAUUGUGGGCUGCAACUCGCCCACAUGAAGUUGGAAUCGCUAGUAAUCGCCAGUCAGCUAUAUGGCGGUGAAUCCGUUCCCGGGCCUGCAGGAC
rnacentral:rRNA from 1 species